rnacentral:rRNA from 1 species
CCACCGGCGGCCCGAGUGGUGAUCGUGAUUAUUGGGUCUAAAGGGUCCGUAGCCGGUUUGGUCAGUCCUCCGGGAAAUCUGAUAGCUCAACUAUUAGGCUUUCGGGGGAUACUGCCAGACUUGGAACCGGGAGAGGUAAGAGGUACUACAGGGGUAGGAGUGAAAUCUUGUAAUCCCUGUGGGACCACCUGUGGCGAAGGCGUCUUACCAGAACGGGUUCGACGGUGAGGGACGAAAGCUGGGGGCACGAACCGGAUUAGAUACCCGGGUAGUCCCAGCCGUAAACGAUGCUCGCUAGGUGUCAGGCAUGGCGCGACCGUGUCUGGCGCCGCAGGGAAGCCGUGAAGCGAGCCACCUGGGAAGUACGGCCGCAAGGCUGAA